ensembl:lncRNA
CUUCUUUGGAGUCGGUCUUAUAGGAUUGUUCUUCAUCAUGGCUGGACGCCUGCUGUUUGUCACCCUCAUGUAUUCCUGUGCCAAUACUAAAACACAAGCUCGUCCUCAACUCAUAAUGAAUUCAGCGGUGAUCUCAGAGACGGAAACAGUCACAUUGGACUGUCGAGCUCCAUCAUAUCCUACUGUCCACCAGUGUUAUUUCACCAUUAUCGGAGCAAAACAUGCCAAAGGCUUCACUUGUGUGCAGACACUGACAGGAACUGAACUGUUGAGGAUGUCAGACCAGAGAGCACCUGCUGAGGUUAAAGUGGAUUGUUAUUACACUGUAAUGGUUGGAGACGUGAAUCAUCCAUCUGCACACAGUGUCACAUCAUCCAUCACAAUCCAAAAUGUUGUCAAGUCGAGCACGACGCAGACUAAGACGGCAUCUGCUGUGACCACAGCAGGUCUCAGUGCUUCCAGGCCUGUAACUCGUAUAAAGCAAACACCAGCAGAUCAAACCUUUGGACCAAGAAACUCUGGUAGUUUUAGUUCUCCUCCCCUCACAACAGACAAACCAACAUCAGAUGUUGUCGAGUCGAGCACGACGCAGACUAAGCCGGCAUCUACUGUGACCACAGCAGGUCUCAGUGCUUCCACGCCUGUAACUCGUAUAAAGCAAACAUCAGCAGAUCAAACCUUUGGACCAAGAAACUCUGGUAGUUUUAGUUCUCCUCCCCUCACAACAGACAAACCAACAUCAGGUGACACAAAGACUCACAUUUCUUUAUUUUUUUUUACAUUUCAAUAUUUGGUGACACAAAUACAUUUCUAUAUUGUUUUUUCCAAAUAUUUAUUUAAUAUUCUUACCACUGAACUCUUUUUUAGAACCAGGAGUUGAAAUUAAAGUGGGCUGUGAUCAUGUGUUUCUGCUUGGUUUGAGUAGUACGUAAUGCUCUGAAAUUAGACAGUAAAGACCUGUUUCUGAUUAUAUAUCAGAAUUUCAUGAUGAAGCUUGCGUGCAACGUUAACAGUUAAAUUGUCAGUUGAGAAGCAACACUUUGCCUCUCCUUUUUUAGAUUGUGUUCUCUUUUUGUAGGCAUUCAGUAUUUUCACACUCCUUCUUGCUUCUGUGUUUGUUGUGAAACUGAAACUGAGAUGAUUGUGGCUUCCGAAACAGAAAUGCAGAGAUGGAUGUUCAUGGUGAUUGCGAUUUGUUUGGGAGGUUUUUUCUCUAUUUCCUUACUGGGACUGGGCCUUCUGUGUAGCAAAAGAACAUUGGAAAUAAGUUCUUACAGGAGGUCACAAGCUGAUGUCACUGUGUGCAGCCGUAAAGGCGCCCGGGUGUCUUGCUUAGGAACACUUCUACAUUGGGACAUGGAGCAGCCAGGGUUCGAACCGCCUUGCGGUUCCCGGCACACCCUGUCUACUUCAUGCGCCACCGUCGCUAAUAUGAGAUAUCUUGAACAUGGAGAAUUGGUUCUGUGAAACUGGAGGAGCAAACACUUACACAUGAGAACCACGCCAUGUUCCAAAUAUACGCCAAUAUCCCCAACGAGCCACCUGCAUCAGCCAAACAGGACGCAGUGUAAAGCAACCUGAAGCCACAUUGAAACACAAGCAUUUUAUACUGUGUAGAGGAACGGUUGGGCGGACAGUCAAAACAUUUUUUUUUAAAUCAGUUUCUUUUACAUUUUUUAAACAUAAUAUUGUUUGUGAAAUUGCAAUGCAAAUUGUAACUGUAACAAACGACAGGUCUCAGCUGGCUUUAAGAUAAUGUUAGCACACUUCAUAUUUUGUUUUACAGGGAGAAAAGAUUUUAGAAUUUUGACAUAGAAAUACAAACAACUGAUGUUUCUUAUGUUUUGCAGUUAAGCUGCAAAAGUUGCAAUCGUCACCAUUAUUAUUUUGUGAAGUUGGAGGCUGUUGAUUAGCACCACAUUGUAGACAACUUCUUUCUCUUCAAAGUCAAAAUAGUAUAAGCUUGCUUCUUUAGUACUUGUAACACAAUGCCUGCUCAAUUAAACAAAUACAAAAAUAA